AUUGAACGCUGGCGGCAGGCUUAACACAUGCAAGUCGAGCGGGGUGAUGGUGCUUGCACUAUCACUUAGCGGCGGACGGGUGAGUAAUGCUUAGGAAUCUGCCUAUUAGUGGGGGACAACAUCUCGAAAGGGAUGCUAAUACCGCAUACGUCCUACGGGAGAAAGCAGGGGAUCACUUGUGACCUUGCGCUAAUAGAUGAGCCUAAGUCGGAUCAGCUAGUUGGUGGGGUAAAGGCCUACCAAGGCGACGAUCUGUAGCGGGUCUGAGAGGAUGAACCGCCACCCUGGGACUGAGACACGACCCAGACUCCUCCGGGAGGCAGCAGUGGGGAAUAUUGGACAAUGGGCGGAACCCUGAUCCAGCCAUGCCGCGUGUGUGAAGAAGGCCUUAUGGUUGUAAAGCACUUUAAGCGAGGAGGAGGCUCUUUUGGUUAAUACCCAAGAUGAGUGGACGUUACUCGCAGAGUAAGCACCGGCUAACUCUGUGCCAGCAGCCGCCGUAA
rnacentral:rRNA from 1 species